CACUGAAACACCUGUUCUCGUCCGAUUUCCAAAGUUAAGCAAUGUUGAACCUGGUCAAUACUUAGAUGUGUGACUGUUCAGGAAUACCAGAUCUUG